UACGUAGGGGGCGAGCGUUGUCCGGAAUUAUUGGGCGUAAAGAGCUUGUAGGUGGCUCGUUGCGUCGGGAGUGAAAACCUGCGGCUUAACCGCAGGCCUGCUUCCGAUACGGGCGAGCUAGAGUUCGGCAGGGGAGACUGGAAUUCCUGGUGUAGCGGUGGAAUGCGCAGAUAUCAGGAGGAACACCGGUGGCGAAGGCGGGUCUCUGGGCCGAUACUGACACUGAGGCGCGAAAGCUAGGGGAGCAAACAGG
rnacentral:rRNA from 1 species